CUGUCAGAUUUAUCGACGGGACGUCGAUUCAGAGGAGGGGGGUAUAAUGUAACCAUUGAGUGACAUGACUGCCCUGGCUGGUUACUUCCGGGUAAGUUCUGUUUACGUUUUAGUUGCUGCAUUCACUUCAACCUACGAUUCACACACCUGUAGCCACUCUUACUUAUGUGUGUCAGUAUAAAACCCGGAAGUGACAGUCAAGGGUAGGCUCGCUUUCGUCUCAUUUGGGUGUCUAUCGGUGGGGAAUAAGACCGGGAUCCUGGUGUGAGGUAUGUUGGUUGAACUAUCUGUUUGUCUAACACGCUGAUGCAGGUCUUCACAUUUCAAUUCUAUUUCUUAACAGUUGCCGGUUUUCCCCUUGUCUGUGUUUGGCUGUGGCGUGGGCAUGCAUCGCUAACAGGACAACGAUUGCUGCUGCGUCCGAGGGCUACGAGUUUGUUUGUGCGUGCUUAAUUAUGUGCUAAGAUACAGGAGCCGGUGAACGUGGUACCAGUGUUGUGGGGUUAUUUGACGGGGGUUACUCUUCUGCACUGCUUGAGGUGAAUUAGAAGUAGACCUAAUGAGCACCUUCACAUUUAUUAUGAAUUGCUGUGUGUGUGCCUGUGUGUAUGCGAUGUGAUUCUAGAUAUUGGAGCACUGGGAGUGAUUUGCUGUGUUGACCUCCCCUCCCCCACUUCUCCAGGUAACUAGUCACUGGUCCAGCUCUCCAUUAAUGAAAUUUAGUGUCAUACAAUUGUGACAGCCAGUACCUCGGUCUUGCCAUUUACAAUCUGUCUUAUGCUUGUUUUAGAUGUUUUUAACUAGAAUAUCGUAUAUUUGUGUAAUAAAGCCAUACUAAUUAAUGCUUUGUCUUUGGUGCCAGUUGAUUUAAUAAACAUUGCCCAUUCAAUUGGAAUGCACGUCUCUGCUUCAUCUUUAUACUAUUCACCUGUAUUGGGGAACCU